rnacentral:rRNA from 1 species
CCCUUAGAUGUCCUGGGCCGCACGCGCGCUACACUGAUGCAUUCAACGAGUUUUACCUUGGCCGAGAGGCCUGGGCAAUCUUUUAAACCUGCAUCGUGAUAGGGAUAGAUUAUUGCAAUUAUUAAUCUUGAACGAGGAAUUCCUAGUAAACGCAGAUCAUCAAUCUGCAUUGAUUACGUCCCUGCCCUUUGUACACACCGCCCGCCGCACCUACCGAUUGAAUGGUCCGGUGAAGCCUCGGGAUUGUGGCCAGUUCACUUUAUUGGGAGUUGGCUGCGAGAACUUGUCUAAACCUUAUCAUUUAGAGGAAGGUGAAGUCGUAACA